UGGUGUUGACUCACUGCGCGAACCGCACGAGCGGAGACGGCCGGCUUGCUCUCGCAGACUCUUGUUCGUCUGCUGGGUGACAGGAGCGGAAG
rnacentral:lncRNA from 1 species